UACGUAGGUGGCAAGCGUUAUCCGGAUUUACUGGGUGUAAAGGGCGUGUAGGCGGUUUUGCAAGUCAGAUGUGAAAUCUCCGGGCUUAACCCGGAAACUGCAUCUGAAACUGCAGAACUUGAGUACUGGAGAGGAUAGUGGAAUUCCUAGUGUAGCGGUAAAAUGCGUAGAUAUUAGGAGGAACACCAGUGGCGAAGGCGACUAUCUGGACAGUAACUGACGCUGAGGCGCGAAAGCGUGGGGAGCAAACAGGAUUAGAUACCCCUGUA
rnacentral:rRNA from 1 species